rnacentral:rRNA from 1 species
GAUGAACGCUGGCGGCGUGCUUAACACAUGCAAGUCGAACGGAAAGGCCCAACUUUGCUUGGGUACUCGAGUGGCGAACGGGUGAGUAACACGUGGGUGAUCUGCCCUGUACUUGGGGAUAAGCCUAGGAAACUGGGUCUAAUACCGGAUAGGACGGUGGUUUGGAUGGGAUUGUGGAGAGUUUUUUCGGUGUGGGAUGAGUUCGCGGCGUUUCAGCGUUUUGGUGGGGGAAUGGACUACCAAGGCGUAGGCGGGGAGCCGGCCCGCGGGGGUGUAGAGCCGCAGUGGGGCGGAAGUGCGGCCCCCAGUCCUACGGGAGGCAGCAGGGGGGAAUAUUGCACAAUGGGCGCAAGCCUGAUGCAGCAACGCCGCGUGGUGGGUGACGACCUUAGGGUUGUAGAAACCUGUCGCUGGGGACGAAGCGUUGUUGUGACGGUACCUGGAGAAGAAGCACCGGCUAACUACGUG